rnacentral:tRNA from 1 species
AAAAAAUUAGUUAAUUUUAUAACAUUAGUUUGUCAAACUAAAAUUAUCAAAUACUGAUAUUUUUUA